GUGUGCGAAUUCGAGGAGCUGUUGGUGAGAGGUUAGAAAGUUUGUUUUAACCAGUUCGACAGACAUUUUUUCGCUUGUUACAUUUUUAUUAUUCCUUUUUUUUUUUUUUCUCUCUUUCAUUGAGGGACUGUUUAUGAGCAGUGAAAAACGUUGUUUUAAACUGUUCGACGGGACAGUUUUCGUCUGUUAUGGAGAUUUGUCAUCUGUUAGCUUGUUACUUUCCUCCCUAUCGCGCUUAAACACCCGCGCGGCGACGCACGAGGUGCCGCACACCGCGUUUCCAUCGGAGGAGUGAGGAGGGCGACAGUGAGACAUUUAAGUAACGCUCACAGUAAGAGAUUCUUUGGAAGUGUUUAUUAUGAGUUCAACAGAGUGGUGGGGAAAAAUCUCAGACAGAUCUUCUGUGAUGCACUUGACCGUUUCUCUCCAAGCCUGAUGGACCUCUUCAGGAAGAAGAAAGGCCUCACCGCCAAGCUUCUGUCUGAGCUUUUAUGUUAGACAAAGGUGGGUUGACUUGUCUACAUAAGUCUAGUCCAUUUCUUCCCAUCUCUGUUCCUCUCCUUUGCCUUUCCUCUCUCUCCUUUCUUCUCAUCUCCUCUUUUCUCUCCUCUCCUCUCCCCCUUCUUUUCUCCAUUUUCCCCUCCUCUCUUGUCUCCAUUCUUAAAGGGAUAUUUCACCCAAACAUUCUGUCAUUUACUCACCCUCAUGUCAUUCCAAACCUGUAUGACCAUCUUAUGUGGAACACAAAAGAAGAUAUUUUUAGAUAUUUAUUUUUGUCCAUACAAUGGAAGUCAAUGGGCACCAAUGUUGUUUGGUUAUCAACGUUCUUCAAAAUAUCUUCAAAGUCAUACAGGUUUGAAAUGAUACAAAGGUAAGUAAAUGAUGACAGAAAUUAAAUUUUUGUGUGAACUAUCCCUUUAAAUCUCUUCCUUUCAUCUUCUGUCUCUUUUUUUUCUUCUCAUUUUCAUUUGUCUUCUCCACUUUGCUCUCCCCCUUUUCUUGUUUCAACUCUUCUUUCCUUUACCCUUCUGUCCUCUCCCUUUUCUCUCCUCUCUCCAUUCCUUUUGUGUCAUUUUCUCUUGUCCUGUCCUCUACUUGCAGUCCUGGAAAUUUGCAGUGAAGUCAAAGAAUUCUGGGGAUGUUUGGGAAUUUAAUUAAUACAUGUGAGUAUCCUUAGCAAACUGUGUUGUACAAUAUGUGCACUAUCUUCCAGACCACUGAGCCAACAGACAUUAGGUGUCUUUGUCUUCGGGGACUGCUGGUCAUUUUGGGGGAUGAUCCUUCUGCCUUCUUCAAGACCUGCUCCGUAAAUAAUUAAUUUGUUGUAAAUGAUAGUUAUUAGUAGACAUAGUUAUUUUUAUUUAUUUAUUUUAAUUUUAAGCCAUUAGUGAAGUCUGUCUGCUACUCAUUUUCAGAGUAAUUUAAUCAGCAUUCAGUGUUUCCCAGACUUUUAUUUUAUGGCCAAGCAAAUUUUAACUAAAUGCAUUUUUAAAUAUCUGUAUUAUUGAUACAUGACAUGACAAACUGAAAAGAUUUCUCUAUAAAUUCAGUAAAAAUGGGCUCAAAUUAACUUUUUUUUUUCUCUUCUGUUGCAGUACUAAUUAAAGGAAAAACUUUGUUUAAUGUUUUUUGAAGUUGAAGGACAUUACUGCCAUAAUUGGAUAUGUACAUUAAAAGUAUUGGUUGCAAAACUGUGCACUGAAAAUGGUUUGUUAGCUUGGCAGCUCAGGAGAACUUACCCAUUUUUAGUCACAGUUGUGAUGAAAAGAUUUGGAAAAACUGCUCCCAGAAAUUUAAGUUGUAUGACUCCCUUUACAUUCGCUUAAUUUGUAUUACUUUACUGUCACCAGUUGGAAGUUACACAUAUGUCUUGUACAUGAGUUUUGGCCUUCUGUGUCCUUUUUGGACUGAUUUAUGCCCUGCACCUGAACUCACCCAAGUGCAUGAAAAACACUUUCUCCUUUAUUCUGCAGGUAAUGCUCAACCUGGGAAAAGGUGAGCUGACACCCAAAAUUCAGUCUUUGAAAAAUCAGCUUGCAGUGGAAAACAAGCUUCCCAAUAGUUAUACCUCUGCUCCAAAUACCUGGUGGUUAGUUUGAAAGUUUACUGUUGUGCACUGUUUCAUAGAGACAAAGGUUGGAAAUCUCUGAAACUUUAAGUUGGCAAGGAAAAUGUUCCUUUGACUGUACUGUCUGUUGUAUUUUCAAAUGAAACGUUCUAAA